UCUUUAACAAUAGUAGAGUUGUGACUGAAACACUGACCACAGUUUAGGCAUCUGAAUGGCUUCUGAUCUGUGUGUAAAUUGACAUGAUUUAUUAGAUUAGACCUACUUGUGAAAGCUUUCUGACAACUGGGACAUUCAUUCAAGGGCUCCUCUUCUAUGUCAGUUCCCUAUGAUUCCACCAGAUGGCAAUUC